rnacentral:rRNA from 1 species
AUUGAACGCUGGCGGCAGGCCUAACACAUGCAAGUCGAGCGGAUGAAGGGAGCUUGCUCCUGGAUUCAGCGGCGGACGGGUGAGUAAUGCCUAGGAAUCUGCCUGGUAGUGGGGGAUAACGUCCGGAAACGGGCGCUAAUACCGCAUACGUCCUGAGGGAGAAAGUGGGGGAGCUUCGGACCUCACGCUAUCAGAUGAGCCUAGGUCGGAUUAGCUAGUUGGUGGGGUAAAGGCCUACCAAGGCGACGAGCCGUAACUGGUCUGAGAGGAUGAUCAGUCACACUGGAACUGAGACACGGUCCAGACUCCUACGGGAGGGAGCAGUGGGGAAUAUUGGACAAUGGGCGAAAGCCUGAUCCAGCCAUGCCGCGUGUGUGAAGAAGGUCUUCGGAUUGUAAAGCACUUUAAGUUGGGAGGAAGGGCAGUAAGUUAAUACCUUGCUGUUUUGACGUUACCAACAGAAUAAGCACCGGCUAACUUCGUG